CCUACGGGCGACUGCAGUGAGGAAUAUUGGUCAAUGGCCGGAAGGCUGAACCAGCCAAGCCGCGUGAAGGACGAAUGUGCUAAGCAUUGUAAACUUCUUUUGUCAAGGGGCAAAAUCAGGCUCGAGAGCCUGACCAGGGGGACUUGAAGAAAAAGCAUCGGCCAACUCCGUUCCAGCAGCCGGAGUAAUACGGGGGAUGCGUGGGUUGUCCGGAUUUAUUGGGGUGAAAGGGUGCGUAGGCGGGAUGUUAAGUCAGCGGUAAAAGCCCGGGGUUCAACCCCGGCUGGCCGGUGAAACUGGGGGUCUUGAGUGGGCGAGAGGUAUGCGGAAUGCGCGGUGUAGCGGUGAAAUGCUUAGAUAUCGCGCAGAACUCCGGUGGCGAAGGCAGCAUACCGGCGGCUAACUGACGCUGAGGCACGAAAGCGUGGGUAGCGAACAGGAUUAGAUACCCUUGUAGUC
rnacentral:rRNA from 1 species